CCUCGAUAAUGGCACAUUCAUUGAAAGAUAAAGUCGCAAAGGUUUGAAUCUAAGGUAUAAAGCUAUGAUUGUCAAACUACCGAA
rfam:Halobacteroidaceae bacterium T328-2 scaffold_249, whole genome shotgun sequence.